GAUGAAGAACGUAGCGAAAUGCGAUAAGUAAUGUGAAUUGCAGAAUUCAGUGAAUCAUCGAAUCUUUGAACGCAUCUUGCGCUCCUUGGUAUUCCUUGGAGCAUGCCUGUUUGAGUAUCAUGAGCAAAUCUCAAAGUCAAUUCCUUUUGUUAAUUCAAUUGGUUUUGCUUUGGACUUGGAGGUCUUGCAGAUUUCACAGUCUGCUCCUCUUAAAUGCAUUAGCUGGAUCUCAGUAAUUAUGCUUGGUUCCACUAGGCGUGAUAAGUAUCACUCGCUGAGGACACUGUUAAAAAGGUGGCCAGGAAAAUACUGAUUGAACCGCUUCUAACGGUCUAUUAAGUUAGACAAUUACCCUUAAGUUUGAUCUCAAAUCAGGUAGGACUACCCGCUGAACUUAAGCAUAUCAAUAAGCGGAGGA
rnacentral:misc_RNA from 1 species